GGGGCCAUAGCUCAGUGGUAGAAAAUCUGCUUUGCAUGCAAAAGGUUCUAGGUUCAAUUCCCAGCAUCUCUA